rnacentral:rRNA from 1 species
UACGGAGGGUGCAAGCGUUAUCCGGAUUCACUGGGUUUAAAGGGUGCGUAGGCGGGCAGGCAAGUCAGUGGUGAAAUCUCCGGGCUUAACUCGGAAACUGCCGUUGAUACUCUCUGUCUUGAAUCCCGUGGAGGUGAGCGGAAUAUGUCAUGUAGCGGUGAAAUGCUUAGAUAUGACAUAGAACACCAAUUGCGAAGGCAGCUCGCUACACGAAGAUUGACUCUGAGGCACGAAAGCGUGGGGAUCAAACAGG